UACGAAGGGGGCUAGCGUUGUUCGGAAUUACUGGGCGUAAAGGGCGCGUAGGCGGUCCUGAUCGUCGGAUGUGAAAGGCCUGGGCUCAACCUGGGAACUGCAUCCGAUACGGCGGGACUGGAGUGUGGGAGAGGUUGGUGGAAUUCCUGGUGUAGCGGUGAAAUGCGUAGAUAUCAGGAGGAACACCGGUGGCGAAGGCGGCUACCUGGACAGAAACUGACGCUGAGGCACGAAAGCUAGGGGAGCAAACAGG
rnacentral:rRNA from 1 species